UGAUCUCGAAUAGAUCUUCGGCCU
rnacentral:sRNA from 1 species